AUACGGAGGAUCCAAGCGUUAUCCGGAUUUAUUGGGUUUAAAGGGUGCGCAGGCGGAAGAUUAAGUCGGCGGUGAAAUUUUGCAGCUCAACUGUAAAAGUGCCAUCGAUACUGGUUUUCUUGAGUGUGGAUGAAGUAGGCGGAAUUUGUGGUGUAGCGGGGAAAUGCAUAGAUAUCACGAGGAACUCCGAUUGCGCAGGCAGCUUACUAGGCCAUAACUGACGCUCAGGCACGAAGGCGUGGGGAUCAAACAGGAUUAGAUACCCUGGUAGUCCACGCAGUAAACGAUGAUUACUCGCUGUUUGCGAUACACAGUAAGCGGCUUAGCGAAAGCGUUAAGUAAUCCACCUGGGGAGUACGUUCGCAAGAAUGAAACUUAAAGGAAUUGACGGGG
rnacentral:rRNA from 1 species